rnacentral:rRNA from 1 species
GAUGAACGCUAGCUACAGGCUUAACACAUGCAAGUCGAGGGGCAGCAUGUAUCUGGCUUGCCAGAUAUGAUGGCGACCGGCGCACGGGUGCGUAACGCGUGUUCGACCUACCCUUUACUCGGGAACAGCCCAUCGAAAGAUGGAUUAAUGCCCGAUGUUCUCCCUAUAUCGCAUGGUAUUUGGAGCAAAGAUUUAUCGGUAGAGGAUGGGAACGCGUCCGAUUAGCUGGACGGCGGGGUAACGGCCCACCGUGGCGACGAUCGGUAGGGGUUCUGAGAGGAAGGUCCCCCACACUGGAACUGAGACACGGUCCAGACUCC